UGGGGAAUAUUGCACAAUGGGCGGAAGCCUGAUGCAGCAACGCCGCGUGAGUGAUGAAGGCCUUCGGGUUGUAAAGCUCUGUCUUUUGGGACGAUAAUGACGGUACCAAAGGAGGAAGCCACGGCUAACUACGUGCCAGCAGCCGCGGUAAUACGUAGGUGGCAAGCGUUGUCCGGAUUUACUGGGCGUAAAGGAUGCGUAGGCGGAUUUUUAAGUGAGAUGUGAAAUACCCGGGCUUAACUUGGGUGCUGCAUUUCAAACUGGGAGUCUAGAGUGCGGGAGAGGAGAAUGGAAUUCCUAGUGUAGCGGUGAAAUGCGUAGAGAUUAGGAAGAACACCAGUGGCGAAGGCGAUUCUCUGGACCGUAACUGACGCUGAGGCAUGAAAGCGUGGGUAGCAAACAGGAUUAGAUACCCUGGUAGUCCACGCCGUAAACGAUGAGUACUAGGUGUAGGAGGUAUCGACCCCUUCUGUGCCGCAGUUAACCACAAUAAGUACUCCGCCUGGGAAGUACGAUCGCAAGAUUAAAACUU
rnacentral:rRNA from 1 species